UCUGUGUUUUUACCAGAGAUUUCCGUUGGUUAUGGGAUGAUUUAGUAUUUCCAUGAAUUUGGAGACUUAGUACAUUUGGACUUAUUACCUGUUUGGAAAUCCGUUCCGGGGCAAACUAUACUUUGACCGGUUGAAGAGUUCCUGGUCCUGCAGUCAGUCCUAAACAUGCUGCCAUUUCACGUCAGCCACAUAUCCAUUCUCUUAACUUGUUUGAUACGCGUGAUCGGGGAAGGUGAUACAUGCAGAAACAUCAGUGUGAAUUGUGAACAUUGCAAUGACACUAGGUGUACAGAAUGCCAGAACGGGUAUUACGGUCCCUAUUGUGAUAAAAAAUGCAUUGGACAUUGUAGCUGGGGAUGUGAUAUACACACUGGCAGAUGUCCGUCUUGUGCUGAUGGCUACCAUGGGAUCAACUGUUCAGUUAAAUGUAGCAGACACUGUUCAGCCAUUGGUGAUAGACAACCCACAUGUGACAGGUCAACGGGAGCAUGCAGUGAUGGAUGUUCACAGGGAUUCUGCAGCCCCGAGAAGCAAUGCAGAGUAAAAUGCAGCAAGGCUUGCCUAAACAAUACAUGUGAUUUCAUCACGUGCGCUUGCAUGGACUGCCCCGUCGGUUUUAAGGGUGUGCAUUGUGAAAGACCGGAAUAUACCCACAAUGCAAACGUAUCUCUGGGGUUUGGUUGGCUUUACUGUCUCGUGUUUCACACCAUCUGGUUCAUCAUAUACUUCAUCAUUAACCGCUGCAUGAAGAAGAUGGGAAUGCCCCUGAACAUAUUCCUGGCAACCAGUAGAGACAUAUUCCUAGCUAGAAUAGGGUAUUUGAAUCAAACUGACAACGAAAAUGGUACAGUUCCAAGACAAAAGCCACACUGGUGCUGUUAUAUAUCAUGGUGUGCAUGUCUUGUCAUUUUUUUGGUGUCAUAUGCAUGCAUCAUAUAUUGGCUGACAAGCCACAGUUAACAUGGAUUCCCCAUUCAGACACGGUAUCAGAAGAGAAGAGUAUGAGAAGAUGAAGAAGUGUACCCAUUUGUCAAGAUAAGCCACAGAGAUGUUGCACACAGUCUUAACUAAUAUUUACAAAUUUGGUUCUAUAUAACAGUGCAUGGAAUAUAUACAUGGCUAAGUUUUGUAUUAUUAAUUUAUCAAGACUGUUUAACAAUUGUCAGAAUUUAUAUCAUUAAAAGUAGUAUACAGGAAUAUCUUUUUUGUCUCACAGUGUAGUACAAUGGACAAACAAGUAAAAAGUGAUAUUCAUCCUCUAUAUAUUGGCUAUUACACAUUUUAUAUAAUCGUUCUGACCGAGUUUUUGGAUAUUUCCCACCCUCGAUGAUUAAAUCAUGCGAUGAACAUCAAAAUCUUGCCAAUGAAUUACAGUAUUUCUUUAUAUUUACAUAAACAGAUACUGUCCAGUGUAUAUAUGAGUUUUCAACAUUCUAUAAUAUAUACAUUUAUUCGAUAAUGUCAACGAAAAUGACCACGAUUGCAGAUAAAUAUCUUUAGCCUCUGUAGAAAAGAAUUGGAAAAUACACUUUCAGACUAUGUUACAUCUUCCCAAAGCAAGAGAGCUAACUGACUAUAAAAGUCCAGUGGAAACUGGUUAAAGUUAAAGUCAGUUGACUCUCUUGCCUCAGGAAGAUGACUAUGUCGACUCCAUGUCAUGAAUCAGGGGGUAGAAGGGUCAGUGUUAUGCCUGACUUGGAACCAAUUGGCCUGAUGGUUGCUGAUUCAGGAUUGUAGGCUAUCCCCAUCUCAAUAUCUACAAAACAGUUGAGCUUCCAGAAGAGGAGGAUUUUGCUGAAAUAUGAAAACUGCAGUUAAACAAACAUUUUGCACCACUUGAGUAACUUGUGGGUUUCUUUGUUUGUUUGUUACUGAGAUUGUACUGUUUGUUUGUUUAAAGCCGCACUCAGCAAUAUUCAAGCUAUACGACGGCGGUCUGUAAAUAAUAGA
rnacentral:lncRNA from 1 species